UACAGAGGUCUCAAGCGUUGUUCGGAAUUACUGGGCGUAAAGGGUGCGCAGGCCGCGCGGGCAGUCAAAUGUGUAAUUCAGGGGCUCAACCCCUGCACUGCGCUUGAUACUUCCGCGCUAGAACUUUGGAGAGGAGUCUGGAAUUCUCGGUGUAGCAGUGAAAUGCGUGGAUAUCGAGAAGAACACUAACGGCGUAAGCAAGACUCUGGACAAAGGUUGACGCUCAAGCACGAAGGCGAGGGGAGCGAACGGG
rnacentral:rRNA from 1 species